GGCAUCAUAGGUAGUGUUGACUGCCAGGCUGCCUAGUCGUUGGUAUACAGGUUAACUCACAGGCAUCCAGUUGGUUUUAGAUACCUGUAAGGCAUCUAGAUGGACAUUAAGAGGGGCUGACUCCCAGGCUGCUUCCUAACACUGGUUAGCUCUCAGGCAGCCAAUUAGCUUUGGAUGCCUGUGAGGCACUUGACGUUGAGACUGGUUGACUUCCAGGCUGCUUUGGAAUAAGGAUACCUCUGAGGCAGCCACCAGUUUUUGGAUAACUCUGAGGCAUCAUAGGUAGUGUUGACUACUUUAUAUCAAUAAAUAACUACUUUAAAGACUUUAAAGACUACUUUAUAUCAAUAAAGAACUUCAGAAAGCCAGCUCCAAACUAUUACACCCCAGUGUCAAUAAGUGUUUCAUUGUCACAUUGGUAUGUGCAUCAAAUCUGAAUUUAAUACUGUGUUCGUGUCAUGAUAUGUCUUUCCCAUUUUGUUAAGGCGAAGCCAAGGACCUGUGCUCCUCCGUCGGUGCUCUGGCUGCCAGGAGCAUCGAAUUUAAAGAAGUGGCCAUGCUGCGGGCAUCAGACCCCACUGUGGCCACAGGGAGAGCCACGGAGUUCAAACAACAGCUCCAGCACCUCGCCAACCAGGUGAGGUCAAAUGAUCAAUUUGACCUCCUCACGCACACCUUGGGGCCAGGAAUGGUAGAGGUGGUGGUGGAUAUUUUUUAAAAGUGUGUUGACACACACAUUGAAAAUAUUAACAAUUAGCAAUUUGUUGUUUGUUGUGUUCAUUAAUUAAAUAUCUUCAUGUUCUACA